CGCCUAUAAAACCUAGUGGUGGUGGAGGUGCCGGUCCUUUUCCCUUUGGCAUGGGUGGAGGUGGUGCUGGCACUGCUCCAUUUGAAGGCAUCGGUGGCGGUUGAGGUGCCAUACCCUUUGAUCCGAUGGGAGGUGGUGGUGGAGGUGGAGGUGAUAUUACAUUUCUGGAUGUCAUGGGAGGCGGCAGUGGUGGAGGUGGAAGUGUUAUUACAUGUGUUGUUAUCUUAGGUGGCGAUGGAGGUGGUGGGGGCGUAGGUGCUAUUACAUUUCCGGAUGUCAAGGGAGGUGGAGGUGGUGGAGGUGGAAGUGUUUUUGUUGUGGUAUUAGGUGGCAAUGGAGGUGGUGGAGGCGGAGACGGAGAUGUAACUAUGUUUCUUAAUGUCAAAGAUGGCGACUUUAUGACAUUUGAAGAUAAUGUGAAUGGUGCUAGUGUAGCUGCGGCUUGUU
rnacentral:lncRNA from 1 species